rnacentral:rRNA from 1 species
GACGGAGGGUGCUAGCGUUGUUCGGAAUUACUGGGCGUAAAGGGCGCGUAGGCGGCCCUGUCAGUCGGGUGUGAAAGCCCGGGGCUCAACCCCGGAACGGCACCCGAGACGGCGGGGCUGGAGACCGGGAGAGGAGGGUGGAAUAGCCAGUGUAGAGGUGAAAUUCGUAGAUAUUGGCUGGAACACCGGUGGCGAAAGCGGCUCUCUGGCCCGGUUCUGACGCUGAGGCGCGAAGGCGUGGGGAGCGAACGGG